rnacentral:rRNA from 1 species
UACGGAGGGUGCAAGCGUUAUCCGGAUUCACUGGGUUUAAAGGGUGCGUAGGUGGGUAAGUAAGUCAGUGGUGAAAUCUCCGGGCUUAACCCGGAAACUGCCAUUGAUACUAUUUGUCUUGAAUACUGUGGAGGUCAGCGGAAUAUGUCAUGUAGCGGUGAAAUGCUUAGAUAUGACAUAGAACACCAAUUGCGAAGGCAGCUGGCUACACAAAUAUUGACACUGAGGCAACGAAAAGCGUGGGGAUCAAACAGG